UACGAUGAGGUUACGUUCCAAUAAACCAUCGUAAGUGGACAAUAUCACAAGUUGAAAAUGCAUUGAGUAAGAAGUUGAACAAGAUCAACAGUUUUCAAAGAUUUUUUUGAAGAAGUAGAAACCUUUACACAUGCACAGUGUCAUUUCACAAGCUGAUUUAAGUGUGUGUGUAUUUCAAAAGUAAAAAA